CCAACCUCACCAUCACGCGGAGUCUAAGGGGCUCCCCGGGAUGCGGGGUGUUCAGUGCCAGCGUUGAGUCAUUUGUCAGCAAACUGGGAAGUUGGUCCUGAUGGAUGGACAGAAAGACGGACGAAGAGCGGCUGUGAACGGUGGAUAGAGGCGUGUCUAAUGUCCGGCGGACCGAGGUCUGGGUGGAGAUGGGCGGGAAACGACGACGCACAGAGGGGUGGACAGGAGGACGGCCUUCAGCCCCACUGCUCAGCCUCCCGGGUUUCCCACGUAUCACACGGUGCAUUCUUCAGGCUCCGGGACUGAGGCCAGCUGUUCCCCGAACCGGGACUGCACCCCAGAGCCCCUCAGUGUGAUCCCCUCAUCCUGCCCUGCUUUCCUCCACAGCCGCUACCAGUCAUUUAUGAGCAAGGAGAAGCCCAGGGAAUGAAUAUCUUGUAACCACUGGUUCCAGAGAGUGAGGGUGAAAGAAGAGGCAAGAGCAAGCAAAGGGGAGAAGAUGGAAGACUGCUCACCACCAGCAGUCAGCGCGCUCCUCAUGUGUCUAAUUACAGGCGUGUAACUGUGAAGAAAGCGAUUUUCAGAGGCACGUUUAGGCGAUGAAACCCGUCAAGAAAACCAAGGAAGCAAUGACCACCUGACCCAAACCUCGGAGAGAGCGGAGAGGAAGCCUGCUGGACCGCAGGGGCUGCGGGGCCCUCCAGGGUGCUUCAUCUGAGUCCUUUUUUUAAAACAUAUUUUUUUUAUUGAUUUCAGAGAGAGGAGGGAGGGGGAGAGAGAAACAUCCAUGAUGAGAGAGACGUGGAUUGGUUGCCUCCUGCACACCCCACACU